AGUGAGCCAGAAGUUUUAGUAUGCACUUUCAUUGCAUUCCGAUGAGAAGAUCACGAUCACUCUCUACAAUUGAGGGGCUAGGUGCAAGAACAAGGCACUGACUUUCCAAAGGAAGUCGAGGGACGGUGCAUUUAUAACCCUAGGAUUUCUGGUCAAUAACUUCUUCCACUCCAAGGUGAACUCUACCUGUUUGGAAACUGAACAGAACAGCAGAAUGCUAUCAUGGAUCCAGCUUUGAAUUUCAAUCGCUUCUAUAAUUCAAUAUCUUUCUCGGAAGGGACUGGAUCGCUCAGAAAACGAUCGUCGUGGCAGAAGAACCUUCAGAAGAGGACACGUGCUCACUUAACCGAAAGCACUGUCAUUAAAAACUAUUUUUAAAUAGAUAUAUAAAUAAUUUACUUUAUCUGAAUUAUUUAGACUGCAUAUGCAAGAGUAAUUAAAACAUGAAUAAUUAAAAUAUUAGAAAAUUAA